AUGGUGGGUCUCGGGGCCAGCUGGCCUGCUGGCCGCCUGCCUUCUCUCAUGCUGGUGGUGCUGCUGGUAGUGAUCGUCGUCCUCGCCUUCAACUACUGGAACAUCUCUUCUGCCACGUCCUGCUUCAGGAGGAGGAGGCCGAGCUGCAGGGCCAGGUCCCGCGCACCGAAGUGGCCCGCAGGUGGCUGGAAAAGCGCAAUUGGGACCUCUUGCUGUUGGUGGACACGCACAAGAAACAGAUCACCAGAAGGAGGCCGACUGCAGCCGCCUCAGCAGCCGGCUGCAGGUCAGAGAGGGCCUGGGGAAGAGAUGCGAGGAUGACAAGGUUAAACUAUAGAACAAAAUAUCAUAUCAGAUGGCAGACAUACCUCAUUUAAAGGAGCACCUUGCUGAGCUUCGUCAGGAGUUUCUUCGACAAGAAGACCGACUUCAGGACUAUAGGAAGAACAAUACUUACCUUGUGAAGAGGUUAGAAUAUGAAAGUUUUCAGUGUGGACAGCAGAUCAAGGAAAUGAGAGCACAGCAUGAAGAAAAUAUUAAAAAGUUAGCAGACCAGUUUUUACAGGAACAAAAGCAAGAGGACCACAAGAUUCAAUCAAAUGACAGAAAAGAAUUGGGUAUAAACAAUCAAGUAGUACCUAAAAAUAUUCCAAAAGUAGCUGAGAAUGUUGCAGAUAAGAAUGAAGAACCCUCAAGCAAUCAUAUUCUACAUGGGAAAGAACAAAUCAAAAGAGCUGGUGAUGCAGGGAUGCCUGAAUAGAAGAGAAUGACCUAGCAAAAGCUGAUCUUCCCUCUGCUUUAAGGAAGCCUCCUAUUUCAGUUUCUCAACAUGGAAGUCAUCAAGCCGUCUCCCAGCUUCCAACUGGACAACCUCUCUCCCCAAAUAUGCCUCCAGAUUCACACGUAAACCACAAUGGAAGCCCUGGUACUUCAAAACAGAAGCAUUCCAGUCCUCUUCAGCAUUUAAUUCCAGGCUCAAACUCGGACAGUGAGCCCAGAAUUCAAACAGAUACAAUAAAGCGAGCUAGCAAGGAUAGAGUCAGUGAUUUCCAUAAAUUGAAGCAAAGCCGAUUCUUUGAUGAGAAUGAAUCCCCUUUUGAUCCGCAGCAUGGCCCUAAACUGGCGGAUUAUGAUGGGGAUGAUGGUAACGUAGGUGAGUAUGAGGCAGACAAGCAGGCUGAGCUGGUUUACAAUGAGGAAGAAGAUGGUGAUGGUGGAGCGGAAGACAUCCAAGAUGAUGAAGAACGAGAGCUUCAAAUAGAUCCUGCAGACUAUGGAAAGCAACAUUUCAAUGAUGUCCUUUAAGUCCUAAAGGAACACUUCAGAAAACCUAAAGUGCUAUAAAAUGAACUCAUUCUGCUUUGUCCUUUCUGACUUUUGUUGUAAAGAUGAGUUGUAUCAGUUGUAAAGACACAUUGAGAUAGAAUUAAGAGAGAAAAACUUUAAUGAAGGAAUGUACCCAUGUACAUAUGUGAACUUUUUCAUAUUGUAUUAUCAAGGCAUAGACUUUUUUGAUUAUGAUACAGUUAAGCCAAAAAC